rnacentral:rRNA from 1 species
UACGAAGGGGGCAAGCGUUGUUCGGAUUUACUGGGCGUAAAGGGCGCGUAGGCGGCCACCGCAAGUCGAUUGUGAAAUCUCCGGGCUUAACCCGGAAAGGUCAACCGAUACUGCGGGGCUAGAGUGCAGAAGGGGCAACUGGAAUUCUCGGUGUAGCGGUGAAAUGCGUAGAUAUCGAGAGGAACACCUGCGGCGAAGGCGGGUUGCUGGGCUGACACUGACGCUGAUGCGCGAAAGCCAGGGGAGCGAACGGG